rnacentral:rRNA from 1 species
UACGAAGGGGGGCUAGCGUUGCUCGGAAUCACUGGGCGUAAAGGGUGCGUAGGCGGGUCUUUUAAGUCAGGGGUGAAAUCCUGGAGCUCAACUCCAGAACUGCCUUUGAUACUGAGGAUCUUGAGUUCGGGAGAGGUGAGUGAAACUGCGAGUGUAGAGGUGAAAUUCGUAGAUAUUCGCAAGAACACCAGUGGCGAAGGCGGCUCACUGGCCCGAUACUGACGCUGAGGCACGAAAGCGUGGGGAGCAAACAGG